rnacentral:lncRNA from 1 species
CUUUUGAAUUAUCUUUUAUUUUAUUUUUUGUGGAACGUUGUUGCUGCAUAGUGCCUUUCAAUCUGACAUAUCUGUCAAGAACAUGCUCGAACAAUAGGAAUACAUCUGGACUUAUCAGUAUCUGUUUUGACAUCUUUGACAAGGAAUUUCCGAAAGGAUAUGUACUAGGAGAUUUAAAAAUGAACAUACAAAAUAACAUAGAAAGUCCAAAACGUUUGAGAGUAAAGACUUCCGAAGGUAAAUCAGCGGGACCAAAAAGUGUUAAUCAGUUAGUAGAAAUUAACUUUGUUACUCGGAAUGGCAACAUAACCACAACACGUGCUAUUCACAAUUCUUGUUUUCUACGAGAAAACUGCACAAUUGAAGUAUCUUUCCGUACAUCAAAUUAUUCAGAGAAUCAAAGUUCCCUCGGAAAUUUUACAAUACAGUUUCAAGGUAUGUAUCUUAAUAUGAAUUAUUAUUAUGUACAUGUGAAAGUCGGAAGCCUGUAGUUUUGGGGUUGUCGUUAGUUCCUGUCUGUCAAAAUUGUUUUUCUUUUAAAAAAAAAAUGUUGUAAGCAAAAACGCCAGAUUUCUGUUUUGAUUUGAGACCCACUUUUUAUAUAUAUAUAUAUCGGGCGGUUUGAUAGCCGACUAUACAGUAUAAGGUUUUCUCAUUGUUUAAGGUCGUACAGUUGCCUAUAAUUGCUUACUUUCAUUUUAUUUAAUUCUGUUAGAUAGGUGUUAUAUUGUCAGUCACACACCAUCUCUUUAUUUUCAUAUAAAUACAUUAUUUAAGAAAAGAAAUUUGAUAACUUAUGCAAUAGAUGCAUUUAAUAUAGUUAGAGCACUAUUUCUAUUUUUACUACUUUAGAGUCGUUGAUUGCUGCUAUGUAUCAUAGAUAUUAAUUAUCACAACACACAUUAUUAAUAAAUAAAUUCAUCCCUCUUGAAUGAUCUUGUGCCAAGUAAUGAUGAAUUAGAUAAACAUCAUACAUUUAAUUUAAAAUUAUGAAUUAUUACUUUUAUAAGACAAGAUUCUUUUCUGUAUUAUCUUGUAACACUGUAGCCCUUCUCACGAAUCAAGUGUCAAACCUUUUUUAAUCGCCUGUUUUAACGUAGUUAUAUUCAGAUUCAUAAUUGAUAAUCUUAAGCAGCUUGUCAUAUUAACCGAUAAAAUGUUCAUUUUAACAAAAUGAUAAAUACAAAAAAGAAGAAAACAAGUACUAUCCUUUAAAAAGAUAGUCUACGCAUUAAGAUGAGAGUAAAGUUGGUUAUGUAUUUUUAAUCAUAUAUAACAUGUGCUUAAAAUUUAACGUCAAAAGUCUGACAAUUCUGAAAUUUGUCUGUAAUGAAUGUAUAGACCUGUUACAAUAAGAUCAUCUUGUUUGGUGUUAGAUGCAAUGUUCAGGUAUUCAUGUGUUAUUGUUUUACCACAAAUGGUUUGAUAAGCCAAAAAUGAAAAUAAGAGAAAAAAGGGGGGGUAAGAUUUGGCGCUCAUUAAUUUUGGUGCUAGUAGUCGAUAUGUUAAUAAUACUAAAUAUUAUUCUGUUUCAAUUUCUGACGUUUACUUAUAACCUUUGUAUAUAUUGGGUGUGUGGUGUUUUUAUAUGUUAUAAAUGUACUUUGUUGGUUGGAGAGGGCUUAUAUUCGCAUCGCCUGUUAAUUAUGUUUCAUUAACAUUUUGUUUAAAUUAUCAACAAAUAAUACGUUUACACUUCUAUCCAAUGAUACUAAACACAGUUAAUUUUUUUUAAUGUUUAUAAAUGGGACCCAAAAUCUAUCAGCAUAUCAUGAUAUAUAGAUAUAUUUAAGUGACAUUUUUGUUACAGCCGAUUGCAUUGAGUGUGUAGUUAAAGGUAGUAUCUUUGGUUAGCUUGCUUGCUAGAUGAGCCGGGAAGUCAUUAUUAGGUUAGGUAAACUACCAGAGUAGACAAGAAGAUAUAUCUUUGUAGGACUAGGCGAAAGGAGGGUAGUACACCUUACCUAAUAAUGACUCCACGGUUCAGCUAACAAGCAAGCUAGCCAAAGAUAUCACCUUUAUCUACACACUCAAUGCAAUUGGCUCUAUAUGGUCAAUAGAUGAUCCACUUGCUUUGCUUCCACUGAAUUUGUGUGUAAUGUAUGAUAGGGAAAAAGGAGUAUUAAUUUCAUAUGAACACUUUCGAUUAUAUUACUUCCAGUUCGCAAUUUAAAAUCUGCAUCUUAUAAAAGCGUAAAAAUAAAACUGCAGACAUAAUAAGAUAACAAUUCCACAGAGAGUAAUUCAGUCCAAUUUUGAUAAUAAGAUAGUUUAAGAAAAGUUAGCUAUCAAUUUUUUAACGGAUUGAUAUCUGAUUAGAUUUAAAUGAUCUAUAUAAAUAAAUGUGCAUUUCAAAUAUGACAUACGUAUAGUUUGACUGACUCCCUUAUUACUUUACGAAGAUUUCAAUAUAGGAGUAUGUCAUUUGAGUUUUGCUUCCCUAGUUGUUUUAGGAUACCUUAUCAAUCGUGAAACCCUACACAUGUCUAUGUAUAUCUUUUUUUCAUUCUGGCUUUCUAUUUCUAAAGUUCAUUUUAACACCUGUUUUGAUAGUCGAACGACUUAUAUUUGAUAUAGUGCUUUGAAUGUUUAACUAUUUCCUUGAAAAAUAAAGUAGAAAAAAAUAAACUUUUAGCAAACUGGUUUGUCGAGAUUAUGAACAGCAAUAACAUAUCUGUUUUGUGUAUAUCUUUUUUUAUGUAUAUUUUGAGGAAAACUCAAAAUUGAAAGUCCCUAAUCAAAUGGCAAAAGCAAAAGCUCAAACACACCAAACGAAUGAAUAACAACUCAUUUAUCCCAACCCCUUUGCUCAGCAACCAAUAAUACAUGUAGUAUCAAUGAAGUAAUGCUUUUAACAUUAUAUUGGAGUCAAAUAAGUACAUUUUACAGGAACUGAGGGGUUUUCAAAUGCAUUGCGGGAGUGUCGUUAAUUGCAUUUUUGAACUGUCGCAUACUUCAAUAUCAUAUUGUUCCAUCACGGUCAGCAUUAAGAUAAUAAUGAUUCUAUAGGUUCGUAAUUAAUGAAAUGGUAUUGUUCUAUGUAUGAUAUACUGUUUCAAUGUCAAAUAAAAAUGGUAUUGGCUAUAUCAAACAGUACUUAUCUUUUAUAUAUGAAUUGCAUACGUUAGAAGAACGAACGUUCGUGAAUAAUAGAUGCUAUAAUAACUGAUAAACUAUCUGUAUAAGUGAUUGAGUGGUAAGAUAAAACACAAUUAAGAUACAAUUACGAUAUAUUUCUCAGAUAUUUAGUUAUUUUUUUUUGUCUGUAUUUUCAAGUACAUGUAAACGUAAAAUGUAUACUUGAGAGUUAAAAUUUCUAAAACACUGACAUGUUGUAUUGGUGAAAAAAGGAAGAUACGGUGAUCAAAUUACAAGAUCUGUCGAUAUUACAAAUUCACUUCUAAAGACCAAAAUAAACACAAUCAUGUUUACAUUCAAAAUGUUUUCAUUGUGUUUUUCAUAUUGUAACUAGCUUUUGUAGCUUUCAAAAGUUAACAAUGUUUGAAUUAGAAUUAAAACGAUCAUAUGCAAUAAAUGAUUUACUUAAAUCUCCCUCAAAGCAAACCAGAAGUUAUUUUUGUUCACAAAUCAUGUCAUUGUUUCUUCGUUUAAAUUGUUUUACUUUUUGUAAUGUCUUUUUUUUUGUCUUAGCUUUCUUAACGGUAUAGGUUUGGGUGAUUGUUGAAGGGCGUAUGAUGACUAUUUCUAAAAACAAAUAAAUAUUCUUUAUUCUUCAGAAUACUUCUUAAUAUUAUUUUUUAUUGCUUACAUAUUCAUUUGAUAUUGGAUGUUUUGAUGUCUAACUGUCAAUCAUACUACAUCGUCUAACUCUUUUUAGUGAAGAGUUAUUAACACCGAAUGUCGGAUAGUAUGUAGUUUUAAAAUACACAAUUGUUUUUGCUAAAGCGUGCGAAAGCGUGCAUAUUGCAAACACUUUUGACGGUGAAAUGUUCGAAGUGUUCGCAUUAACUGCACGCUUUCCAGCAAGGAUAAUUGUGUAUUUCAAAACUAGAUAGUAUCCUACAUUCGGUGCACUACCUUAUUUAUUAAAUUUCAUUGAUAUAAACAAGUAAAUACGACUACUUACCUUUCAAGCGGUCUGCUCGACUGUUACUUCCAUCAUCCAUCACGUGAUUUUGAUUGUACCCCUUGAGGCAUAGCCAGAUUACUUGAUUUAUAAUUCUAUGCAAAAGUUAUGCCACAAAAAAUAUAAAAGCCUCUUCUAGUAUUAAAAUGCAGAAUUGCAGUGUUCUGUUUGAUCGUACCGGAACAUGCUUUAUUUUAUAACAGCGACUGAUACCAUGCGUUAAUAACUGUGAACCAUCCUGGUAUUCUAUACUUGCUUUAAUUUGCGGUGCCUGAACACUUUAUUAGUAAACAAUGCUAUUGUGGGCACCCUUAUUGAUUAAUUGAUUCUGAUUACCUUUUUAUCAAGACUUUCUAUACAAUAUACAUACAUAUAUCAUAACAAUAUUAGCCAGCUGAACAACUCAUUCAUUAUUCUACUUCCAAGAAUUUCAGACUGUUGAGUUCUAUACACCGCGUCACAUUCUUCUAUAGAAUAUGAAUUAAUAUAUCAAUCUUAUAUGAAUAGAUCAUUGUUUAUUUUUCUAUGUAAAUGUCCUUUAGCAAUAUUUUUAGUAAUAGACAGCCUAUCAGUAUUUGUGGAAUUGAUGAAUUGCGAUCGAAAAAAUAGCAUUGAUAAAAAGCACACAAUUAAUAUCCGGACUAAUGACUAUUGUAAUUGUUUUAUGCUAGAGCGAUGAUAUACAAGAAAGCUUCGAGUCAUUUUUUAUACCGGAAAUGCUUUAAAAAAUGAAAAGGAAGAUCACAAAAAUACUGAACUUAGAGGAAAAUCAAUUCGGAAAGUCCAUAAUCACAUGGCAAAAUCAAAUAACAAAACGCAUCAAAAACGAAUGGACAAGCACUGUCAUAUUCCUGACUUGGUACAGGUAUUUUCAAAUGUAGAAAAUGGUGGAUUAAACCUGGUUUUAUAGCGCUAACCCUCUCACUUUGAUGACAGUCUCGUCAAAUUCCGUUAUAUUUACAUUGAUACGUAAACUAAAAGUGCAUUUGUGACGUCAUUUGUCAGUCAACCAGUGUAGUUUCUCAUUCCUUUAGAAUUUCAGACUUUGACAAGAAAUGCAAUUCCAUUGUCAACAAACAUCAAUAACCAUAAGUCGGAUAUGCAUAAACAGAAGAUUGCAGUAUAUUUGCAUUAGACAUCAAUCAAGUUCACAAAAAUAAAAAUACAAAAACUCAUCUAAUUGUCAACAUUAACUUUUUAUGUUAUUCAAUCCCAAAUUUAAAUACAAUUAUUAUUGGAUGAAAUAUCUCGAAAAUUAACGAAAAAACGUCACAAUUUGUGCAUUUAAAUAUCCUUUUGUCAAUAUUCAGACGUCCACGAAAAGUAUGAAAACUUCUAGUUUUUAUGUUUGACACCAAGAAUAUACAUGUGACGUCAAGUAGUUUAGAGGCAUAAGACGAAGGCAUAUAGAAAAUCUUACAAAACUGUGCUAAGAAAACUUUACAUUUUUUCGAAGUAAAAAUACAACAGACUGAUAUGCAUUAAACCACAUAAGUUAAGAUAUACAAUUGUUGUAUUUGUACUAAUUUACCGAAGGAUAUGUAGAAAAAUCUGUCCGUUCUCAAAAUAUCUGAACUCUAAUACACAGUAUACAGUAAACAAUGAUAAACCAUUUCGUAUAGAUUGAACUGUAGCUACAUCAGAAUUUUCGUUUCAUAUUAUUUUCUAGAAUCAAAGCUUUUGUAAUCGGUCGAUGAUAUAGAGACGCCAAAUUCUAUUCUUCUAUUCAAUUUGUUCGCUUUAUUUCAUCCAGUUUGAAUUGAACUUCUUAUGAUGUUUGCUUACAGAAAAAUUCAGUUAAACAAUUCCAUUCGUUUGAUGUGUUUUAGCUUUUGAUUUUGAUUUUCGAUAAGAGACUUUAUUUUUUUAAUUUUCUUUGGAUUUCAGUAUUUUUGUUAUUUUACUUUUUACGGUUCACUACCAAGUUUCAUUAGCAAUCACUGUGAAUCAAACUUCGUCCCUCAUUGAAGUCUGUUAUGUGUUUUCAAUAUCAAACACAUCAACCGAAAACAAAAGAAAUCCCUUAGAUGCAUCAAUAUGAUAAUUCUGCGCCUUCAAAUAUCUCAUUUUAUGCACUUAGUUGAUAGGAUCUGACGAGUUGUGGUUAAAGAUGUUUGAACCCCUAUUGUCUACUUUUGAUCUUAUGAUUUUGAUUUUCUUUCCUAUGUACUAUAAUUGGUUCUUUUACGAUCAUAACAAUUUUUUAUAUUCCUUUCAUUUUACGUUUUCCAAGAAAAUAAUUGUUAAUUUAUUUAUCUUUAUGUUUUCAGUAUAAUUGUAAUAAUCUGUUCUUAACCCACAAUGACACAUAGAUUACGAAUACACGUUCAUACAUUUAAUGAGUGUAAAUAGAAAUGUAAUUAGAAUUGUGUUUUCAUCAUAAAAAUUCAGUAACAAACACGACUUUUAUUAAUACUUAAAAUUAGUUGAAAAUAUGCCAUGUUUUGAAAAGUACGAGUUAUUUACGACAAUAUUCAGUACAGUAUUAUUCUUCCCCUGUUUGAUAGCUCAAUAAUUUAUUUUUUUUAAAUACCGAACUCCAAGAAUAUCAUAUACAUUGUAUCUCCUAUAAUAAUAAGUGUUUCCACUGUAUUUUAAAAUUUUUGAAAAACUAAGGCUUUUCUACCUCAGGAAUAGAUUACCUUUAAUAGCUGUAUUUGGCAAAACUUUUUGGAAUCUUUGUCCUCAAGUUUGUACUUUUUUGCUAGUUUUGACCUUUCAGCUCUUUUUUGUUAUUCGGGAGUCACUGCUGAGUCUUUUGUAGACGAAACGAGCGUCUGACGCAGAUAAAAAAAAUCCGACUUGGUAUCUUUGAUGAGUAUAUUUAUUAUUAGUAGUCAUGUUAACAAUGAUCAUUCGUUGUGCAAGAAUGAACGCAAAUGUGUCGUAUUGAUGAUACAUGUUGUUCAAUUAAACUAAUUCGAAUACAAAAAAGGAAGAUGGAAAGCCAAGUUGUGCCAUAGAAGCAAUAGUAGUUCAAAGAUGUUCAAAUAUCACAAAUAUAAUACUAAGAUACAAAUCAGGGUAAUAAUAAUAAUUAAAAAAAAAACACAAGAAUAAAAGAAUAUCAAGAGGAAGGGAGUUUGAUGGAACUAAAAAAAUAACGAGACCAAAUGCGUCGACAGAGUAAAAAUCUUUUGGCAUUUUAAUUUUUUGGAUUCGAGCUACACUAAGGCCACACCAAUUUAAUUCCUUGUUCGACGGACCCGCCCGCAACUAUUUUUUUUUCAAAACAGAUUUUUUUUAUUUUUAUUAUAUUCCCGCUUCCCGCAUCCGGAAAUGUAAUCAUGUCCAUUUCCCACACCGUUUUUUUUGUAAAUAUUAUAAAAAGAUCUCAACAUUUGUUUUUAAAAUCACAGUACAUGUAUAACCUUUAUAUAACGAUUUUAAACCUAUAAGCACCCCACAACACUGUAAAUAUCUGGGAGGAUAUUUGUUUCAGCAUGAAACCAAUUUAUUCCAAGUGGGAGUGCUCCGAAAUAAAUAUAUAACAGCGGAAAUACCUGUACAGAACAAAACAUUGGUUACUUUCCCCCUGACUUAUAUUCCCUAUCAAAAAAUGUUCGUUGUUAAACAUUGUUAAAAAAAAGUACAAAGAACGUCUGAAGGAUUUGCCUUCAACUGCAAUUAUAAUGUAUGCUGACGGUCAUACCCGCUGCAGGUUUGUGCACCUGUCCUGAUUGAUUCAGGGACCUGUCGUUCAGCAGUUAUCGUUUGUUGAUGUGGUUCAUUGGUAAUUUCCCGUUUGGAAGUAUAAAUUAGAUCGUUGGUUUUCCUGUUCAAAUUGUGUACAAUACUAAGUAGUAGUCCCUUAUAGCUUGCUGUUUGGUCUGGAUCAAAGAUCUGUGUAAAAGGCCGUACUUUGACCUAAUGUAUGUUUGUUAUUAUCAGGUUAUCACUCAGACAGGGGCAUUAAAGGGGUCAUUUUACCAUGUUUACUGUUGUAGAAAAGAAAAUAGAAAUACUAAUGAUUUGUAUAGUGCUACUAUACAAAACCUUUGAAAACUUAGAAUUUUUACUCAAAAAGAGGAGAAAUACAUUAUAUUUUACAAAUGUUUUGAAACAACUUUUCUAAAAGAGGGGUCCACUUAUUUUGAAUAAUUCUAAACUGUUAAAGUGAACGUGUUAACAUGGUUAAAGUCAAGGAAUGUUACAAAAUUCUUAGACAUGUUUUGACCAUUUAAUACCAUAUAGAUAUUAUAGUUCUUUGGGAAAAUAUUAGCCCUUUUGUACUAUAAAGGUUGCACUUUGUAAAUACAGCUGUUUCUCAAAACACGCCUCUUUUGGGGAGUAAUUGAAUAUUCAUAGAAAAUUAAUUUUGUUUACAUACUGGUUCCCAGUUAUACUCUCUGUGUUCCAUAUCGCAGAGACAGAACUUGGGAAUGUUACCAGUAAAUAAACACGUGCAUAGUGUUUACAUUGAAAUCUGUGGUAACCUUCCAUUCGAGGUAGGGGUAGUUAAGAAAAUUAGUGUAAGUUUAAACUCUGAGAAGUUCAGGGCAUAUAAACGUUGAAAAUAUGCCGCACAGCUCUAUUUAUUGACCUUUGAAAAAAAUUGUGGUGCAUAUGAACUUUCAAUUCUAGGAUAAGAUUUUUUUCAAAACUUCAUAGUAAAAGUGGUACAGUUUUAGCCGUAAAAGGAGUUCCUAUGGGAAAUUGCCUUGUCAAUAUUUACAGAAAUGCAACCUAUAAAGAGUUUUUACAAACAAAAAUUAUUAUACAUGUAACUUAUAUUGACCCUUCCUAAAAGGGAUAUUCAUAACAUUAAGGGGCUGUUCUGAACCUGAUUAUGACUUUGAUGGAGAAUUGUCUCAUUGUCAGUCACACAUACAUAGAUCAGAUUUCAUUAUUCAAUUAUUUCUUGUUGAACAGGGAAAAAAUACUUCAUAAAUUAAAGAAAUGUCAAGAUACAAGUGAAAAAUCAAGUUUUAAUAUAGUCAAAACCUACUAUUUCAUGUUUACAAAAAAAAUUAUAAUCGCUCGCCCUUACUUUUUGAGCUUCGCCUCAAAAAUUUGCAAAUUAAAUAUUUUUUUAUUAAAAUUUUCAAAUCGCUCGCUCGCCUCAAUUUUCGGAGUCCAAAAAUCCGUAGAACAAGAAAUUAAAUUGAUGUGGCCUAAUGAUUCUUUUGAAGACGAACUCGCGUCUGGCGUAUAUACAAAUUUUCAUUCCUGGCGUAUAUGAUGAGUUUAUUGUGUACACAUUACCCAACCUGAUAAUCGGCACUUUAUAACAGUCAUGGUUAGAACGUAGUCAGUAAAUGUACAGAUCAGACGACGUCUCUGUUUUGAAAAGCUCACAAAACAUGUUAUCCUUGUCUUGUUUAAUUGCAACGUGACAGUUCGACAAAACAAGUACAAAGUUGACCUUAACCUUCUUGUGAUUUUCAUUUAUAAACAUCAAAGUGUCAGAAGAUAAAACUAAACUAACAGCGGUGGCAAGUAUAUGAUAACGCCUUAUACAUUUUUUGAUGUUUGCACACUUCCUCAAUUGACAAAUCAAUUAUUUACCCUCAUAGUUUUAUCUGAAAUAUCAAUUUCAGCAUCAUGCUUUUUUAGUUUGAUUGCAUCCGUUUCGCCGUAUUUACUUCCGUUAUAAUUUAUUUCGAUUAAUGUUGUUUUUUGUUAUUCAUUACUUUUCUACUAAAAUAUAAAAUAAUCUUUGACAUUAUCAUGAUAAAUCAUGACAGGAAAUAAAAAAAACAAAAUUUUGAACAAUACAACGACUAUCCACUAAUUCGAAGCACCAAUUUGUUAUAUGGUUUUUCGUUUUCCAGCCUUUGGUUGACAUUGCUGCUGGUAGAUUGCUAGUCUUCUUUGGAACACCUGCCCAGUAGACAGUGUUUUGUAACCGAUACUAUAUAUAUAGAACAUAAUGUUCUGGAAUUAAAACACAGUUUUGGUUGUUCUGCUAUUUAAGUUAUUACAGUUUAGGUUUCAUACUUUUGGUCUGGGUGCAGGUGUUGUAGGUUGGUCCAGAGAGAAUGUGACCCGAUGCAACAUACGGCUUAUGACGAAUGACACAUACAAAGAAAAGAAGCUGUAAAAGACUUUCAUACAUUUUUAUUAAAUGCUUAGUGACUAUGCGAUUUCAUCUGUAUAAUGGAUUUUCAAAUCACACAUUGAUACAUUUAAGCCUUAUUAUAACAAGGCAUUAUGAACAAGAGAAUAUUGAGUUUUCUUGUUGUAUACUUUCCACAUUCAUAUGUAUAUUAUACACUCUUGGUUUUCAAAUAGUUAGUUUAGAGCAUUCCUUCGGAUACAGGACACUAAUACAGUGUUUUUUUCCCCUCAUUUGAAAGUUUAUUGGUAGGCUGCAACACGUUUAAAUGUGUUCCAAUAAUGUCAAUAAAUAAAAGUAACAGUAGUAUACCGCUUUUGAAAAGUCAUCAAUCGAUUGAGGAAAAACAGAUCCGGGUUUUAAACUCGAAUCGAAGUAAACAAAUCAAGCGAUUUCUCCUUUUGUAUAUUUGAUUUAUAAAAUACAAGCAUGAAUAUUAAAAUCUAAAUAAUAUCCAGAUGAUACAAUUAACAAUGCAUAUAGACUCAUUUCAACGAAAACUACGAUUUUGACGAAAGAAAACCAAACUGGUUGAUUACAGCUAACUACUCUUUUUUUUAAAUUCUGCCUUUAUAAGAUUUUGAAAUAAUUAUUAUUCUUAUUUUGCUUGUUCAGUGAAAUGACAUUAAAUAUAAGUAUUAGAGAACCGUGUCUUCGUCAAUAUUUCGUUGUAAAAAUGUUGUUUACUUCUAAAUUAUUAAGUUAGUGUAUUUAUUCAUUGAACGAUUUAUUUUCUAAAAUGCAACUUUAUUGAUUGAUUAUAUUUCAAUUACAUUUCCAAUAUUGAAGAAGUAGUUUUUCUUUAUGCUUUCAAUUUGAAAAUUGAUUAAUUUGUUAUUUGUUAAUAAUAAAAUUAUUCAAUUUUAAAAUCAUCCAAUGGAUGUUUUUUCCUCACCUAAAAGAAUGGCAGGCAAUUUAAACAUCUUCACGUAGAAAAUAGUUUUUAAAUCAUGAUAUAGUUUUAAACAUGUUAAACAUUCCCCAAGAUUUACCGAAAUUGGAUAAAAUAUCGAAAUUAUUGUAAUGUUAUUCAAUUACGUAAAAAGUUUUCUGUUCCCUUCUUUAAUUUAGAGUAUAACUUGUAGUUUCAUUUCUACUCUUAUAGAAGAAGACUAACUAUGAUAAAAAAAUCUCCUAAAAACACAGAUUAAAAUAAAAACAGAGAAGUAAACUAAACCGAAAGAGUAAUUUUAAAGUCAAGGAAAUUAUACAACUGGCAAAUACUAUAGAAAAAACCAACUAUCGUUUGAAGCAUUAUUCAUCAAAUGUCAAAUUCAAUAUGAUGUAAUUUACAAGUUGAAUGUAAAUGUUGAUAGAAUAUUAAGUUCAAAGCAAUUUUUAAGCCUGGUUUCUAUGAUGAGUUUAUUUUUCAUGUUUAAAAAGAUUUUAAAAGUUAAUGAAGGAGAAAGGUAAAAAGAAACCAAGUAGCAUUGAAAGUGUAAAGUACUGAAAAUCUCAGACAUAUCAGGCUCUCAGAAAUGUCUUGUCAGAGAUUGGUGGUAUUUUCCUUUAAUUGUUUAGCUUUUAUCACCGUAACAUUUAGUUUUUUAAACAUGUCCAACUCGUGCAUUGUACCAGUCCCAACUGUGCUGUGUUUGUUAUAAGAAUUCGGUAAUUACUCGAUUUGGUGUUUAUAAGUUUCCUGACUGAUUGUAUUGCAUUUCUAAUUCAGCACAACAUUUCUAUUCCAGAGCCUAUUUGUGAUUUUGACGAAGAAUGCAAUAUGUUUGAAGAUGAGUCAAAAAUCAAGAUAAACUACAAUGAUACUGAAUGCAAUGGAAACUGCAAACCACUCCCCAAUAUUAAACAGGACCAAAACACAGGUAAUUAUUAAUCUGCAGGGCUUUUAAUGUUAAUAUCAAAGAUGUAUUUAUGUCGAUACCUCUAGUGGUGGACUAUCAGAUACGAGGGUAUCAUCAGCUCAGUAGUCAGUACUUUGAUACUGAUAUGAUUUCAAACAAAACUUUGAACAAUUUUGAAAUUAUUCAGAAACUGAGAUACCAACUCCUUCAGGCAAAGUUUACCUUCGAUGGAUUUGACUAUCCUUUAUGGUUACAAAGCACUUUAACUGUUUCGGUUCUUAUACAUCCUUGGAUUUAAAAUAUUUGGCAUUAGACGUUCUUGAUGAAUGUACAUUCAGAAAAUUGUUUCGAAGGUGUUUGAUUUGUAUGCAUAUACUUGAUUCAUUUGUAUUUAAGGUGUCUGACACUUUUAACACUCAUAGAAUAAGCUAAAAAUGAGAAACAGUCCUCUACAAUGCAUUUCAAUGAACCUCGUAAAAGGGUAAAGGAGAUGGGGCCUUUUUCACAAUCAUAUUCUGUUGAUUUAACAUUUGUUUUGUUAUUAAUAUAGUGUUUGGCAUACAGAAUCAUCUAAAAAUACUUAUUUGUAAAAACAUUAAAUCGACAUUUCACGAAUGAAAAAUCAAAGGUAAUUUAGUAUUGGUCAUCAAACAAACAAAAGGAAUAAAUAAUAUGACAUUCAAUAAGGGUAUGUUUACAGGAUUAACAUGGGCGUGUAAACAUGUAUGCUUUAGUAGUCACGUCGUCUGAGGUCAUAGACAUGUUACGAAAAGUUAUAUUCACGACGCUGAGGUUGAUUAAUUACAAUUUAAAUGUGGGAACUGUGUCAAAACACAAAAAAAUUAACAUUGAAUAUGAUUUAAAACCUGCAUUGAUCCUUUUGGAGGCAAUUCCGUAUGGAACGACUAUUCAAUAGCAUUUGUACUAUAAGAAAAAUAUAAGAAAUAAAUAUUAACAAAUCGCAUAAUAUUUUUAAGAAACUAUAAUGCAAAAAAAAUGGAAGGAGGAGGGGAUCAUGAUAAUGCAGUAGAUGUGCGGGGCAUCGGAGACACGGGGUGGUACAUACAUGUACAUGUGUGAAUUCUUCGGCGAGCCCUUGAUAGACCUUGCCAAUAAUCUUAAUUUUUAAUAGCUAAUCACUAGUAAUUUUUGGGCCCUGUAUAACUUGCUAUUCGGUGUGAGCCAAAGCUUCGUAUUGAAGGCCGUACCUUGACCUAUAAUGGUGUAAUUUUAUUUUAUAAAUUGUUACAUGGAUGGAGAGUUGUCUCAUUGGCACUCAUACCACAUCUUCCUAUAUUUACUUGCCAAUAAUCUUAAUUAUUAUAAUUUGUUUUAUACCUACUCGUGAAUAUAUAUGUAUAUAACGGUCAUUUCUAUAUAGUGACGUAAAACAAACAAAGGAGUGCGUGUAUUUUGAUCCAGUCGUUUGCCGCUUAAAUUUUUGUCUAACGGGGUCUGUUUUAAAACACAUAAAACACGAUUUUAAUUCAAUUUUAGUUUUUGAAAAUUUACUCCCCGCCAUAUAGCGUCCUUUAUUUCCUUUCAAGUUUAUCUUAAAUUAAACAGUUUCAACUCAAUUUGUUGUUUCCUUAUAUGGGAUUUUUUGAUUGAUUGAUUGUUGCUUGCUUAACGUACAGUGGCAAAUAUUUCAUGCAUGUUCAGAACGAUAAGAGGUUUGAGUAAAAUAUGACUCACUACUCUCCGGUUGAACAUCCCUACAGUUUCAAAAGCAUUGCAUAAUAACUUUGCAUUUACACCUUAACAACACCUUAUGCAGACAUUGCAUUCAUACACAGGUUAUUUAGGACAACAGAAAUUAUAUAAGAUUUAUUCGAAGUUGUUUCCUAGGACACCAAAAUGAUGCCCAACAGUAUAAUCUAUUGUCUUUAAUUGGACCAGAUUUGGAGUCAGAUUUCCCCUAAAGUUUUGUCAUCAUGUCGAUCGCACCUCGUUACCCCUUACAGAUGUCAUCAACUGUGAGCUUAAACCAAGAGCAGAAAGAAGAAAAUGUAAAAAUAUGAAUUUGCGUAUAUCAGAGUGGCGGGUAUAUGUCGAACACGCUAUAAGACGCUUAACAACUUUCAGAGUCAUUGGAAGCUUAUGGAGACACCCGAGAAAGAAAAAGAACAACCAGACAGAGCUUUGUGCGGGAUUAGUGUAGCGACAGAUUGAGCUUUUUCAGGAACUGUAAUACAACAAUAAAACUUAUAUCUAACGUGCUUACUAUGUAUUAAUUAUCAAUCUAACUAGAAUCGAAUGAACUUGUAUCUCUCAGCCCCCGUCUUCUAGCCCACCCUAUCCGGCACGUGUACACCUUUUAUGUCUUAUGGUAUCACAAAAGCAUAAUGAUGUUCUAGAUAAAUGUGAUUUUAAUUAACCAAGACGCACAGGAUUCAAAUGUUACCUGUUUAAAUCUAGAAUCAAUGUUUUGACACCGUCCCCAAUUUUUAAGUGUAAUUUGUCAACCUCAGCGUCGAGAAUAUACCUUUUCGUAACAUGUCUAUUAAUACAACGCAUACCAUAAAUUUUAUGAAGAAUAAUCCUUUCUCUUUUUUUUUUUUUGUUGUUGCUGCAGGCAGAUAUGGGUAUUUAUCUCUAUCAUCAUGGAGUCACCCAGCUAGUUUACAAACAAAAAUGAUUUUUGGUAGUGGUUACGGAUGCCAAUUUCAGUACUCAAUUUGGAUUUGGCCGAAAGUGACGGUCAGGAUUUUUAUCAAUACUCCUACGACACGGA